AGAGUUUGAUCCUGGCUCAGGAUGAACGCUGGCGGCGUGCUUAACACAUGCAAGUCGAACGAUCCUUCGGGAUAGUGGCGGACGGGUGAGUAACGCGUGGGAAUCUGCCCUCAGGAGGGGGAUAACGGCUGGAAACGGCCGCUAAUACCCCAUAUGCCGAGAGGUGAAAUGAAUUUCGCCUGAGGAUGAGCCCGCGUCUGAUUAGCUAGUUGGUGGGGUAAUGGCCUACCAAGGCAACGAUCAGUAGCUGGUCUGAGAGGAUGAUCAGCCACACUGGGACUGAGACACGGCCCAGACUCCUACGGGAGGCAGCAGUGGGGAAUUUUCCGCAAUGGGCGAAAGCCUGACGGAGCAACGCCGCGUGAGGGAUGAAGGCCUCUGGGCUGUAAACCUCUUUUCUCAAGGAAGAAGACCUGACGGUACUUGAGGAAUAAGCCACGGCUAAUUCCGUGCCAGCAGCCGCGUAAUACGGGAGUGGCAAGCGUUAUCCGGAAUUAUUGGGCGUAAAGCGUCCGCAGGCGGCCUUGUAAGUCUGUUGUUAAAGCGUGGAGCUCAACUCCAUUUAAGCAAUGGAAACUACAAGGCUGGAGUGUGGUAGGGGCAGAGGGAAUUCCCGGUGUAGCGGUGAAAUGCGUAGAUAUCGGGAAGAACACCAGUGGCGAAGGCGCUCUGCUGGGCCAUAACUGACGCUCAUGGACGAAAGCCAGGGGAGCGAAAGGGAUUAGAUACCCCUGUAGUCCUGGCCGUAAACGAUGAACACUAGGUGUCGGGGGAAUCGACCCCCUCGGUGUCGUAGCCAACGCGUUAAGUGUUCCGCCUGGGGAGUACGCACGCAAGUGUGAAACUCAAAGGAAUUGACGGGGGCCCGCACAAGCGGUGGAGUAUGUGGUUUAAUUCGAUGCAACGCGAAGAACCUUACCAGGGUUUGACAUCCUGCGAACCCCUGAGAAAUCGGGGGGUGCCUUCGGGAGCGCAGAGACAGGUGGUGCAUGGCUGUCGUCAGCUCGUGUCGUGAGAUGUUGGGUUAAGUCCCGCAACGAGCGCACCCACGUCUUUAGUUGCCAGCAUUCAGUUGGGCACUCUAGAGAGACCGCCGGUGAUAAACCGGAGGAAGGUGUGGAUGACGUCAAGUCAUCAUGCCCCUUACAUCCUGGGCUACACACGUACUACAAUGCUACGGACAAAGGGCAGCAAGCUCGCGAGAGUUAGCAAAUCCCAUAAACCGUGGCUCAGUUCAGAUCGUAGGCUGCAACUCGCCUACGUGAAGGAGGAAUCGCUAGUAAUCGCAGGUCAGCAUACUGCGGUGAAUACGUUCCCGGGCCUUGUACACACCGC
rnacentral:rRNA from 1 species